GUGGGGAAUAUUGGACAAUGGGCGAAAGCCUGAUCCAGCAAUGCCGCGUGAGUGAUGAAGGCCCUAGGGUUGUAAAGCUCUUUUACCCGGGAUGAUAAUGACAGUACCGGGAGAAUAAGCUCCGGCUAACUUCGUGCCAGCAGCCGCGGUAAUACGAGGGGAGCUAGCGUUGUUCGGACUUACUGGGCGUAAAGCGCGCGUAGGCGGUUUUUUAAGUCAGAGGUGAAAGCCCGGGGCUCAACCCCGGAAUAGCCUUUGAAACUGGAAAACUAGAAUCUUGGAGAGGUCAGUGGAAUUCCGAGUGUAGAGGUGAAAUUCGUAGAUAUUCGGAAGAACACCAGUGGCGAAGGCGACUGACUGGACAAGUAUUGACGCUGAGGUGCGAAAGCGUGGGGAUCAAACAGGAUUAGAAACCCCUGUAGUCC
rnacentral:rRNA from 1 species